GAUGAACGCUGGCGGCGUGCCUAACACAUGCAAGUCGAACGGCAGCACAAUAAGCUUUUGCCGUUACGGGUGGCGGCUGGCGGGCGGGUGACGCGUGGAUCAUCAUCUUCUUUUUCGUGGGGGAUAACGUAAGAAAACUUACGAUAAUACAUCAUACCUUUAACCGGUGAAUGCAGGGGAUAUUCGGGCCUUUUGCGCAUGAAAGAGCCGAUUCCUGAUUUGUUAGUUGGUGGGUUAAAGACCCACCAAGCCAACGAUCAGUAGCUGGUCUGAGAGGGGGGUGGCCCACACGGGAACUGGGACACGGUCCAGACUCCUACGGGAGGCAGCAGUGGGGAAUAUUGGACAAUGGGCGCAAGCCUGACCCAGCAAGACCGCGUGGGUGAAGAAGGCCUUCGGGUUGUAAAGCCCUUUUGUUGGGAAAGAAAAUCUGCAGGUUAAAACGCCGCUGUAGUGACGGUACCUAAAGAAUAAGCACCGGCUAACUACGUG
rnacentral:rRNA from 1 species